UGUGUAAAAUCAAGGAAAACAAGUGAAAAAGGUGGUGAGUCCUCCGAUAAAGGUAAGGAAAUUGCAUCCGAGGACCAGUAGUCAGAAUACUUCGAAAAUCUACACUCUAGACAUUGCUCAGGAUAGUCUAUAGAUAGCUGAUUUCAUCGAUGACCACUAUUGGAUUUGCAUCUUCCAAACUGUAGGUUCACAAUUUUUCUUACUUUUGGUUAUUUAAGGGCCCACUAGUUAUUGUAUAUUAAA